AAAGUUUGAUCAUGGCUCAGGAUAAACGCUGGCGGCGCACAUAAGACAUGCAAGUCGAACGAACUUAACCAUUAGUUUACUAUUGGAGCGGUUAGUGGCGGACUGGUGAGUAACACGUAAGUAACCUGCCUAUCAGAGGGGAACAACAGUUAGAAAUGACUGCUAAUACCGCAUAUGCCUUAGAAUCACAUGGUUCAAAAGGGGAAAGGAGCAAUCCACUGAUAGAUGGGCUUGCGUCUGAUUAG
rnacentral:rRNA from 1 species